GUGUUCUGCUAUCAGCUGGUGACACAAUGCAGAUUGUCCAAUCAGCACAAUCAGGAGGCGGACUUUAAUUUGCCAGAACUUUAGUUCCUGUGAUGUUCGCUCUCUAUUGAUCUCUCACUCAUUCUUGUUUUAACAGCAGAGUGUAAGAGUCGGCGACGUGUCAUGACAAGAGCACGAAAAACAUUUCAGCCAACACACUUCUCACGGCGUGGGGACAUGAGGGGACGAUUGUUGGGCUGCAGUCCAGUCCGGUUAGUGUCUCUCUGACAUCAGACACACUACAGUGCUUCGAGACUUGGUGCUUCAUCAAAUCCACCUCAGAGUAAAUGUCUUACUUCCUGUUCCUGCCCUAGUCACAGUCUUCAUACAGCUUAUGUUUCAGUUCUAUAAGUUUUCUGUCCUGUAAAUGACAUUAUUACUGUGUGAGACGUUUCUUACUGCAGCUCCAAGUACCACAGAAUCUGCCACAAUCACCUGGGUCAGGAAACUCAUCCUGCGGUCAAUAACACUGAUAUCUAACGAGUAACACGACUAGUGAUUUAAUUAGAAGACAUUAUAGUCAUCUCCGUAUCAUGUAAUGGUUGAAGAAAUCAUUCUGAAGUCAUUAAACCGAUGUCUGUGAUGUUGUAGGAAUAAAA